GGCCCCCGGCCACUGUACUGGCCAAUGAAAGAGCCGUCCUCGUUGAACUGGAUGUCCACGCUGUCUCCGUAUUCGGCCAGAGAGUCGUCGCUGCCCAGCUUACUCUCCCCGCACAGAGACGGCUGGCUGUCGGAGCGCUUCUCAUCUCCGUCGCUGGAAGACAACAGACAGAAACGUUUUCCGAGGGACCUCCGGCCCCGUCCCUCCUGGGGACCCAACCUCCUGACAUAGAUCUGACGGUGAGGGCGGGGAGGAAAUUGAAAACAGCCGACCUCGGAUGCUCUGCGCCUCGUUCCACUUGACUCUGACGGUGCUGUUCAUCACAGUGGUUUCAACUCCGGUGGGAGCGUCGUCGGGCUCUGAGAGGAAGACCAGGCAUCAAGUUUUACAGUAAGAAUAGAAAGUACUCAACACAACAGCAUC